rnacentral:tRNA from 1 species
AGCGCGAAUGAGGGGCGGUCUUCAAAACCAGUACGCCGUCGUAGCCCGACGGUAGGCAGGUUCGACUCCUGUGCCGCUCCGUAAGCCA